rnacentral:rRNA from 1 species
AGAGUUUGAUCAUGGCUCAGGAUGAACGCUGGCGGUAUGCCUAACACAUGCAAGUCGUACGAGAGUUUUUAACUCUAGUGGCGGACGGGUGAGUAACACGUGAGAAUUUGCCUUUAGGAGGGGGACAACAAUUGGAAACGAAUGCUAAUACCCCAUAUGCUUUCGAGUAAAAUGGAUUUUAUCUGCCUAAAGAGAAGCUCGCGGCUGAUUAGCUUGUUGGUAAGGUAAAAGCUUACCAAGGCGACGAUCAGUAUCUGGUUUGAGAGGACGAUCAGACACACUGGAACUGAGACACGGUCCAGACUCCUACGGGAGGCAGCAGUGGGGAAUUUUCCGCAAUGGGCGAAAGCCUGACGGAGCAAUACCGCGUGAGGGAAGACUGCCUAUGGGUUGUAAACCUCUUUUUUCAGGGAGGAAUAAAAUGACGUGCACCUGAAGAAUAAGCAUCGGCUAACUCCGUGCCAGCAGCCGCGGUAAGACGGAGGAUGCAAGUGUUAUCCGGAAAUCACUGGGCGUAAAGCGUCUGUAGGUGGUUUAAUAAGUCAACUGUUAAAUCUUGAGGCUCAACUUUCAAAAUCGCAGUCGAAAACUAUUAGACUAGAGUAUUGUAGAGGUAAAGGGAAUUCCAGUGGAGCGGUGAAAUGCGUAGAAGAUUGAUAGAACACCGAUGUC